GUGUCAGCCGCCGCGCGGUAAUACGGGGGUGGCGAGCGUUACUCGGAUUCAUUGGGUGUAAAGGACAGGUAGGCGGCUAUGUAAGUUGGAGGUGAAAUCGUGCGGCUUAACCGCAGAACUGCCUUCAAGACUGCAUAGCUUGAGGCUAGAAGAGGAGAGCGGAAUUCCCGGUGUAAGGGUGAAAUCUGUAGAUAUCGGGAGGAACACCAGUAGCGAAGGCGACUCUCUGGGCUAGUUCUGACACUGAGCUGCGAAAGCUAGGGGAGCAAACAGGAUUAGAUACCCUGGUAGUCCUAGCCGUAAACGAUGAGCACUAGGUGUUGGUUCGUAUAGGACCGGUGCCGUAAGAUAACUCGUUAAGUGCUCCACCUGGGGACUACGGCCGCAAGGUUAAAACUCAAAGGAAUUGACGGGGGUCCGCACAAGCGGUGGAACAUGUGGUUCAAUUCGACGAUACGCGAAGAACCUCACCAAGGCUUGACAUGCAGGUAGUAGCAAACCGAAAGGGGCGCUAACCGUAAAGCCGGUUGCUUGCACAGGUGUUGCAUGGCUGUCGUCAGCUCGUGCCGUGAGGUGUUGGGUUAAGUCCCGCAACGAGCGCAACCAUUAUCCUUUGUUGCCACUCUUUUAAGCCGCAAGGUUUAGAGAAGCACUCUAAGGAGACCGCCCUGGGGAACAGGGAGGAAGGUGGUGAUGACGUCAAGUCAGUACGGCCCUUAUGCCUUGGGCUACACACGUGUUACAAUGCCUACUACAGAGCGUUGCCAAACCGCGAGGUGGAGCUAAUCGCAAAAAAGUAGGCUCAGUUCAGAUUGGAGUCUGCAAUCCGACUCCAUGAAGACGGAAUCGCUAGUAACGGCGGAUCAGCUACGCCGCCGUGAAUACGUUCCCGGACCUUGCACACACCGCCCGUCAA
rnacentral:rRNA from 1 species